GUGGGGAAUAUUGGACAAUGGGCGCAAGCCUGAUCCAGCCAUGCCGCGUGAGUGAUGAAGGCCUUAGGGUUGUAAAGCUCUUUCACCGGUGAAGAUAAUGACGGUAACCGGAGAAGAAGCCCCGGCUAACUUCGUGCCAGCAGCCGCGGUAAUACGAAGGGGGCUAGCGUUGUUCGGAAUUACUGGGCGUAAAGCGCACGUAGGCUGAUAUUUAAGUCAGGGGUGAAAUCCCGGGGCUCAACCCCGGAACUGCCUUUGAUACUGGGUAUCUUGAGUAUGGAAGAGGUCAGUGGAAUUGCGAGUGUAGAGGUGAAAUUCGUAGAUAUUCGCAGGAACACCAGUGGCGAAGGCGGCUGACUGGUCCAUUACUGACGCUGAGGUGCGAAAGCGUGGGGAGCAAACAGGAUUAGAAACCCGGGUAGUCC
rnacentral:rRNA from 1 species